rnacentral:tRNA from 2 species
GUUUUAAUAAUUUAAAUAAAAUAUUGGUCUUGUAAAUCAAAAAUAAGUUCUGCUUUUAAAACU